GUAGUCUGCAACUCGACUACAUGAAGCUGGAAUCGCUAGUAAUCGCGGAUCAGAAUGCCGCGGUGAAUACGUUCCCGGGUCUUGUACACACCGCCCGUCACACCAUGGGAGUCGGAAAUGCCCGAAGUCUGUGACCGAACCGAAAGGAAGGAGCAGCCGAAGGCAGGUCGGAUGACUGGGGUGAAGUCGUAACAAGGUACC
rnacentral:rRNA from 1 species